GACGAACGCUGGCGGCGUGCUUAACACAUGCAAGUCGAACGGAAAGGCCCUGCUUUUGUGGGGUGCUCGAGUGGCGAACGGGUGCGUAACACGUGAGUAACCUGCCCUUGACUUUGGGAUAACUUCAGGAAACUGGGGCUAAUACCGGAUAGGAGCUCCUGCUGCAUGGUGGGGGUUGGAAAGUUUCGGCGGUUGGGGAUGGACUCGCGGCUUAUCAGCUUGUUGGUGGGGUAGUGGCUUACCAAGGCUUUGACGGGUAGCCGGCCUGAGAGGGUGACCGGCCACAUUGGGACUGAGAGACGGCCCAGACUCCUACGGGAGGCAGCAGUGGGUAAUAUUGCACAAUGGGCGGAAGCCUGAUGCAGCAACGCCGCGUGCGGGAUGACGGCCUUCGGGUUGUAAACCGCUUUCGCCUGUGACGAAGCGUGAGUGACGGUAAUGGGUAAAGAAGCACCGGCUAACUACGUG
rnacentral:rRNA from 1 species